rnacentral:rRNA from 1 species
UGAGGAAUUUUCCGCAAUGGGCGAAAGCCUGACGGAGCAAUGCCGCGUGAAGGAAGACAGCUUACGGGUUGUAAACUUCUUUUCUCAGAAAAGAAAAAAAUGACGGUAUCUGAGGAAUAAGCAUCGGCUAACUCUGUGCCAGCAGCCGCGGUAAGACAGAGGAUGCAAGCGUUAUCCGAAAUGAUUGGGCGUAAAGCGUCUGUAGGUGGUUUAAAAAGUACAUUGUUAAAUUUUAAGGCUUAACCUUAGCAAAGCAAGGUAAACUUUUAAACUAGAGUUUGGUAGAGGCAGAGGGAAUUUCCGGUGGAGCGGUGAAAUGCGGAGAGAUCGGGAGGAACACCAAAGGCGAAAGCACUUUGCUGGGCCAUUACUGACACUAAGAGACGAAAGCAAGGGGAGC